rnacentral:rRNA from 1 species
UACGUAGGGGGCAAGCGUUGUCCGGAUUUAUUGGGCGUAAAGCGCACGUAGGCGGCUUUUUAAGUCAGGGGUGAAAUCCUGGAGCUCAACUCCAGAACUGCCUUUGAUACUGGAAAGCUUGAGUCCGGGAGAGGUGAGUGGAACUCCGAGUGUAGAGGUGAAAUUCGUAGAUAUUCGGAAGAACACCAGUGGCGAAGGCGGCUCACUGGCCCGGUACUGACGCUGAGGUGCGAAAGCGUGGGGAGCAAACAGG